rnacentral:rRNA from 1 species
UGGCUACUGUGCCAGCUGGUGAAUGGCUCGGCUCGAGAGCCGAUGAAGGACGUGCCAAGCUGCGAAAAGCUCAUGGGACCCGCAUGGAGGGAAAGAACAUGAGAUCUCCGAAUCGGAAUCCGUUUUACAAUUGCUACGCGCAAUAGGGAACUCCCUGAAUUGAAACAUCUCAGUAAGGGAAGGAAAAGAACGCAACCGCGAUGUCGUCAGUAACCGCGAGUAAACGCGACACAGCCCAAACCGAAGGUCUUCGGACCAAUGUGGUGUUCGGGUUGACAAUCAAAUCUCGACAACUCAUCUGAAGUCUCCUGGAAUGGAGCGUGAAACAGGGUGACAACCCCGUAAGAUGAGUCAGUACAGAUGGCGUCAAAUCCAGAGUAGCAGGGGUCGGAUAUCCUCUGUGAACAUCUCAGGCAUCCCCUGAGAAGGCUAAACACUCCUCGAGACCNCGUGAGCGAACGCUGAAAAGCACCCCGAGAAGGGCGGUGCAAUAGGGCCUGAAAUCAGCUGGCGAUCGAGCGACAGGGCGUACAAGGCGAUUCUCAAAACGACCGAGGAGCGAUCCUCCAGUAGGAAGAGAAUCGAGCCGGCGUCGUGUCGUGCGUUUUGAAAAACGACCCAGGGAGUGCACUUGAUUGGCGAGUCUAACCCGUGAACCGGGGAAGGCGCAGGNCACCGUGUUCAAGCGCGGGGAGUCAACCAGGUGCGACCCGAAACCAGGCGAUCUACGCGCGAGCAAGGUGAAGCGUGGCGAAAGCCACGUGGAGGCCUGUUAGAGUUGGUAUUCUACAAUAUCCUCUCGUGACUCGUGUGUAGGGGUGAAAGGCCCAUCGAGCCUGGCAACAGCUGGUUCCAACCGAAACAUGUCGAAGCAUGACCUCUUCCGAGGUAGCCCGCGGGGUAGAGCUACCGAUUGGAUGACCCGCCUCCGAGAGGAGUCGGCCAUCCUGUCGAACUCCAAACCCGCAGGCGCUGUAGACGAAGGGAGUCCGGUGCGCGGGGUAAGCCUGUGUACCGUGAGGGGAACAACCCAGAGCCGGGUUAAGGUCCCAAAGUGUAGAUUAAGUGCGAUUCGAAGGUGGUCUCAAGCCCUAAACAGCCGGGAGGUGAGCUUAGAAGCAGCUACCCGCUAAGAAAAGCGUAACAGCUUACCGGCCGAGGUUUGAGGCGCCCAAAAUGAUCGGGGCUCAAAUCUACCACCGAGACCUGGCCGUGCCCUUGACAGGGGCAACCGCGUAGGUUGGCGUACUGGUCGGACGGAAGCCCGGGCGAGAGCUCGUGUGGACCGUCCAGUAACGACAAUCCUGGUCACAGUAGCAGCGAUAGUCGGGUGAGAACCUCGACGGCCUGA